GACCUGUUUCUGAGACUAGCUUCCUCCUUCCAGGGAUGUGGUUUUCCUCAUGGACUGCUCAUUCUGAUCGGAUGUGUCCUCUGAAAGGCAGAGACAGGGGAAGGUGCGUCCUCGUCGAACUCCCGCCUGUACCUUCCUAGUACCUCUGGCCAGCAGCCUGUGUGCCCGUGCUCCCUGGACAUCCGUGAAUGUUUGAUGCUACAUCUCUACCCAAACUGAAGCUUCCCGCCUGCAUUCUGUCAACGGCACUUGCGGGCGGGGCGGGGGGGGGCAACUUUUGGAACAGAAAGCUCCACCCAUCCUACUCCCUACUACCUGCAAUCAAACCAGCUAAAACACCCCACCUCAGACU
ensembl:lincRNA